CACGUAGGCACCAAGCGUUGUCCGGAUUUAUUGGGCGUAAAGAGCUCGUAGGCGGCUCGUCGCGUCGACCGUGAAACUUGGGCGUUAACCCUGAGCUUGCGGUCGAUACGGGCAUGACUGGAGUUCGGCAGGGGAGACUGGAAUUCCUGGUGUAGCGGUGAAAUGCGCAGAUAUCAGGAGGAACACCGGUGGCGAAGGCGGGUCUCUGGGCCGAUACUGACGCUGAGGAGCGAAAGCGUGGGGAGCGAACAGGAUUGAGAUACCUGUGAC
rnacentral:rRNA from 1 species